AGUGAACGUUGGCGGUAGGCCUAACACAUGCAAGUCGAACGGCAGCACAGUAAGAGCUUGCUCUUACGGGUGGCGAGUGGCGGACGGGUGAGGAAUACAUCGGAAUCUACUUUUUCGUGGGGGAUAACGUAGGGAAACUUACGCUAAUACCGCAUACGACCUACGGGUGAAAGCAGGGGAUCUUCGGACCUUGCGCGAUUGAAUGAGCCGAUGUCGGAUUAGCUAGUUGGCGGGGUAAAGGCCCACCAAGGCGACGAUCCGUAGCUGGUCUGAGAGGAUGAUCAGCCACACUGGAACUGAGACACGGUCCAGACUCCUACGGGAGGCAGCAGUGGGGAAUAUUGGACAAUGGGCGCAAGCCUGAUCCAGCCAUACCGCGUGGGUGAAGAAGGCCUUCGGGUUGUAAAGCCCUUCUGUUGGGAAAGAAAAGCAGCAGGUUAAUACCCCGCUGUUCUGACGGUACCCAAAGAAUAAGCACCGGCUAACUUCGUG
rnacentral:rRNA from 1 species